UGUAUACUCUCCCAUUAUAAAAUUCUUGUCGUAGAUUUGUUUAGAUAUGAAUGUAUCUAGUCAAGUUUUAGUAUUUACAUACAUCCAUUUCUAAAAAAGCUAAGACAAGAAUUUUGAGACGGAGGGAGUACUUA
rnacentral:pre_miRNA from 1 species